rnacentral:rRNA from 1 species
GACGAACGCUGGCGGCGUGCCUAAUACAUGCAAGUCGAACGAGAGCGACCGGUGCUUGCACUGGUCAAUCUAGUGGCGAACGGGUGAGUAACACGUGGGUAACCUGCCCAUCAGAGGGGGAUAACAUCCGGAAACGGAUGCUAAAACCGCAUAGGUCUUCGAGCCGCAUGGCUUGAAGAGGAAAAGAGGCGCAAGCUUCUGCUGAUGGAUGGACCCGCGGUGCAUUAGCUAGUUGGUGAGGUAACGGCUCACCAAGGCCGUGAUGCAUAGCCGACCUGAGAGGGUGAUCGGCCACAUUGGGACUGAGACACGGCCCAAACUCCUACGGGAGGCAGCAGUAGGGAAUCUUCCGCAAUGGACGCAAGUCUGACGGAGCAACGCCGCGUGAGUGAAGAAGGAUUUCGGAUCGUAAAACUCUGUUGUUAGAGAAGAACAAGUGCUAGAGUAACUGUUAGCGCCUUGACGGUAUCUAACCAGAAAGCCACGGCUAACUACGUG